UCCACUUCUCUACUCUUGUGUCCUGUCUGCACGCCUCACCUCUGUUUUGCAUAAUGAAUCCUUACCAACUAGCUCAGCUUUGUGUCGUUCUAAGUCUCGAUGCACUCGAUUUCGUCCGCAUUAGGCACUCGCCUCUUGAUUACUUCGUGGCACAGAAAUACUCGGCAUCAGGCUGUUUUUCUGCUGUGGCCUUUGUAGAAGCAUGAUUGUUCAAAGUGCAACAAUUAAUCAGAUUCUAUGAGUUGCUUGUGGCUUCGCCAAUACAAUUCCGGUGCGCUGGUCCGCCUGUCCAGCAAUUUCCUAAUUGGGAAACCUGCAAACACCGCCCCGCAUGUAGAAAAAUGCUCUACUGUGACGCUUCUCAAAUGAUUGUGAUGCACCACAAGAGCUGCCCACUCGCGUGAUAUUCUCAACAAGGAGAUACAUUCGUUUACUUACAUGUGAAGGUAUAUGCCAGAGCACUUCGGGGCUUCGGUGGCACAUAAGGCACAAGUGUGCUAUAGCGUCCGAUGUCGACGCGCGAUCGCAUGUCAAACUAAUUGGUCAAGGCCGUGUCUGCUGUGCCCGGGGCACAGCAGACGAAAGGUGCCCGAAAUGUCUACGUUCACCCAUGACGUCACGUCCGCUAUAACCCAUGAUGUCACAUCCGCUCAUUUUCAUGGCGGCCGUCUUACGGAGCCGGCUGCGCUGCGAAACGGUCCGUAUUCCCUGCCCACUUAGAGCACUGAACAUCCCACGUCUUGGUUUGACUUCCUGGUACAGGAUACUUGCACUUAGCAUGGAGUGAUGAAGCAGAGCAGUGUACUUUUAUUAAAUGUGCAGAUUUUAGCAGUAUAACAGCAGUUCAUUAAAAAAACAUGUGUGCUGAAAAUAAAGUGUUCUUACCCACA